GUUACAAUGGCAGAGUGGCGCUGUUCGCCUUUCUGCUCGUUGACUCAGCGGGAACUGAAGACUGCAGAAGCAGUGAUUUAAAGUUUCGCUGAAAACUUUAGCCGAAAUAUGAGAUAUUGGUGACUUUUUUAUGUUUGUGGUGAAUGAGACUCACAAGACCUUUCUUUGCUCGAGCUUUUAUUCAUUCGCUCGCCUUCAGUAAGCGAUGAACGGGCAGAGUCACAGACAGCAGGAUGAAGUAGCUGCAACUGGAGCAACAGAAACAGACAACAUCAUCACCUCUGACCCUCAGCAGUGGCCUUCACUCAGGCCUCUAAUCCUCCAGGUCUGAUGGCUCCAGGAUGAGAAUGGCACACUGGUCACUAGACACCCAGCCUGAUCUGAAUUGAAAGGUUCUGUGAUCACAACAAAUGGAUACGCCUAUAACCCAGUGACAUCAUCAGGAGAUCUGGAUCAAUGGACCUGAUGCUGCUUGUUAAGUAAAUAUGUGCUUGUGUUUAUUUCAUAGUGCAAUGUUUGUUUGUUUGUUUUUUUAGCUUGGUAAAAGCUCCUGUGUCUCCAUGAACUGGUCUCAUUUUCAGGUAUAUAUAUACAAAUAAUUUAAAACAUAAUUAAAACAUCAAUUACUUUAUUGUUUUGUGAGAUAAUGCAAAUUGUCAACUUAUAUUCAGGGCUAAAAUUUUUCUAUGAAAAACAUGAUCUCACUUGUUUUUAAUACUGUAUUAAAAUCUGCCAAACACCACUUUAUCUUACAUGUGCAUUAAAACAAACACUAAUGAGACCAUGAGAAGUCACAAAAAUCCUCAUUAUGAGCAGUAAACAGAAUGUCCCUAAUGAUGUUAUAAUGUUUAACAUCAAAACAAUAAAUGAUGACACAUGUUGAUCCAGUGAAUCAUUGAUUUUGUUGAGCUCCAUAUCCAACAAUAAACAAACAGUAUUAUGCCAUCUCA